ensembl:snRNA U6 U6 spliceosomal RNA
CUGCUCGCUUCGGCAGCAUGUGUGCUGAAACUGGAACGACACAGAGAUCAGCACGGCCCCUGCGCAGGGACGACACGCAGAUUCGCGAAGCGUUCCAUAUUUUU